UACGGAGUCUUGUUGUUAUUUUUGUUGACUGAAUGGCCUGAGGUGGAUGGAAGGAACGCCGGAGAGGAGGAGAAAGGGGAAAGAAAGGGAGAAGAAGAGGAGAAGAGACUGUUGGACUUGACUGGCUUUAAUGUGUCAUUUGGAGAUUUAAGUAGCCCACAGCUGGACCUGCGUGAGUGCGUUUAUGGAUCCAAACACACACGCAUACGCACUGUAUUAUCUUGGCAGUAUAUGCCAUUCUGAGAGAGAUUUUGAAUAGACGCAGAAGUGGUUCCUGGGAAAAUGAGAGCAGGGAAGGGAUGGCGGCACGGACCUCUUCUUGUUAAUCCUGCGGGCAAGUCAGCACGCCCAGUCGGAGCGGCCAGAGCAGUGAUGUCGGCAUAAGUGUUUGCGAGACGUAGUUGGGGAGUGUAUCCUUGUGAUUUAUAUAGGUUUGGUCGGUAUGUGUUUAUUUCAGUGGAUAAUGAGGUUUAGAGAUAGCCCGUGAGGGAUUGAU